UGAGAAACGGCUACCACAUCCAAGGAAGGCAGCAGGCGCGCAAAUUACCCAUUCCCGACGCGGGGAGGUAGUGACGAAAAAUAACAAUGCAGGACUCGUUCGAGGCCCUGUAAUUGGAAUGAGUACACUUUAAAAGCUUUAACGAGUAUCCAUUGGAGGGCAAGUCUGGUGCCAGCAGCCGCGGUAAUUCCAGCUCCAAAAGUAUAUAUUUAAGUUGUUGCGGUUAAAAAGCUCGUAGUUGGAUUUUGGGCGCAGGCGGCCGGUCCGUCGCAAGGCGUGUACUGGACGUCCUGGCCUUCCCUCCGGUUCUCCGCCGGUGCUCUUGACUGAGUGUCGGCGGCGGCCGGAACGUUUACUUUGAAAAAAUUAGAGUGUUCAAAGCAGGCUCUCGAGCCUGGAUAAUGGUGCAUGGAAUAAUGGAAUAGGACCUCGGUUCUAUUUUGUUGGUUUUCGGAGCGCGAGGUAAUGAUUAAGAGGGACAGACGGGGGCAUUCGUACUGUGCCGUUAGAGGUGAAAUUCUUGGAUCGGCGCAAGACGAACGACUGCGAAAGCAUUUGCCAAGAAUGUUUUCUUUAAUCAAGAGCGAAAGUCAGAGGUUCGAAGACGAUCAGAGACCGUCCUAGUUCUGACUAUAAACGAUGCCAACUAGCGAAUCGGGGGGCGUUACAUUGACGACCCCUC
rnacentral:ncRNA from 1 species